rnacentral:rRNA from 1 species
GAUGAACGCUGGCGGCGUGCCUAAUACAUGCAAGUCGAGCGAACGGACGAGAAGCUUGCUUCUCUGAUGUUAGCGGCGGACGGGUGAGUAACACGUGGAUAACCUACCUAUAAGACUGGGAUAACUUCGGGAAACCGGAGCUAAUACCGGAUAAUAUUUUGAACCGCAUGGUUCAAAAGUGAAAGACGGUCUUGCUGUCACUUAUAGAUGGAUCCGCGCUGCAUUAGCUAGUUGGUAAGGUAACGGCUUACCAAGGCAACGAUGCAUAGCCGACCUGAGAGGGUGAUCGGCCACACUGGAACUGAGACACGGUCCAGACUCCUACGGGAGGCAGCAGUAGGGAAUCUUCCGCAAUGGGCGAAAGCCUGACGGAGCAACGCCGCGUGAGUGAUGAAGGUCUUCGGAUCGUAAAACUCUGUUAUUAGGGAAGAACAUAUGUGUAAGUAACUGUGCACAUCUUGACGGUACCUAAUCAGAAAGCCACGGCUAACUACGUGCCAGCAGCCGCGGUAAUACGUAGGUGGCAAGCGUUAUCCGGAAUUAUUGGGCGUUAAGCGCGCGUAGGCGGUUUUUUAGUCUGAUGUGAAAGCCCACGGCUCAACCGUGGAGGGUCAUUGGAAACUGGAAAACUUGAGUGCAGAAGAGGAAAGUGGAAUUCCAUGUGUAGCGGUGAAAUGCGCAGAGAUAUGGAGGAACACCAGUGGCGAAGGCGACUUUCUGGUCUGUAACUGACGCUGAUGUGCGAAAGCGUGGGGAUCAAACAGGAUUAGAUACCCUGGUAGUCCACGCCGUAAACGAUGAGUGCUAAGUGUUAGGGGGUUUCCGCCCCUUAGUGCUGCAGCUAACGCAUUAAGCACUCCGCCUGGGGAGUACGACCGCAAGGUUGAAACUCAAAGGAAUUGACGGGGACCCGCACAAGCGGUGGAGCAUGUGGUUUAAUUCGAAGCAACGCGAAGAACCUUACCAAAUCUUGACAUCCUUUGACAACUCUAGAGAUAGAGCUUUCCCCUUCGGGGGACAAAGUGACAGGUGGUGCAUGGUUGUCGUCAGCUCGUGUCGUGAGAUGUUGGGUUAAGUCCCGCAACGAGCGCAACCCUUAAGCUUAGUUGCCAUCAUUAAGUUGGGCACUCUAAGUUGACUGCCGGUGACAAACCGGAGGAAGGUGGGGAUGACGUCAAAUCAUCAUGCCCCUUAUGAUUUGGGCUACACACGUGCUACAAUGGACAAUACAAAGGGCAGCGAAACCGCGAGGUCAAGCAAAUCCCAUAAAGUUGUUCUCAGUUCGGAUUGUAGUCUGCAACUCGACUACAUGAAGCUGGAAUCGCUAGUAAUCGUAGAUCAGCAUGCUACGGUGAAUACGUUCCCGGGUCU